rnacentral:tRNA from 1 species
UCAAAGUGUUAGACUUUUAAUCUAAAUACGGCAGUUAGUUUUCUUGCCUUUAGGGGCUUAGUACUUUAAGC